CAGAGCUCUUCUCUAUUGUGUGAGUUAAACUCUCUCUCCUCUCAUCACAUCUACUGUAUAUAACAGCAGCAGAGCUCUUCUCUAUUGUGUGAGUUAAACUCUCUCUCCUCUGAUCACAUCUACUGUAUAUAAACCAGCAGCAGAGCUCUUCUCUAUUGUGUGAGUUAAACUCUCUCUCCUCUGAUCACAUCUACUGUAUAUAAACCAGCAGCAGAGCUCUCAGAUCCACAGAGGACAUGUCUCUCUCUUCAGAUCUUCACAAGGUAUAAAUGUGAUGUAGACAAAAACAAAAACACACAGAGAAAUCUGCUGGAGCAUCAGGAACCACCACAAAACACCAGCACAGAGAGAGAAAUGGAGGACAGGAAUGAAACAGAAAUGACUGGAUCACAAGAGAAAAGCAGAGAGAUACUUGCGAGAUGGAACAGUAUGGAGACACUAAAGCCAGAUUUCUCACGUGAUCCAGACGGACCUGUGAUGUUCAUUCAGAUCUUAUUAAGAGAACACAACAUCACAGAGACCAGACACCAGCAUCAUCUUCAUCAUCUUCAUCAUCAUCAGAAUACAGUCUGAUCAGUUCCUGGACUCUUUUCACACUCAUCUGAUCACAACCAAUGGUUCAGUUUAUUUCAUCUGUACUGUGUACACACACAUAAUUCUGAAUGAAUAUGAUACAGUUUUACAGUAAUCUAACAUAUCAUCAGCUUUUUACUGUAUUUAUUUUUACUGUAGUUAUUUUUAAUCUUUGGCCUAUGCAU